rnacentral:rRNA from 1 species
GGGCCCGCACAAGCGGUGGAGCAUGUGGUUUAAUUCGAUGCAACGCGAAAACCUUACCUACACUUGACAUACUUCGAAUUUUCUAGAGAUAGAUUAGUGCCUUCGGGAGCGAAGAUACAGGUGCUGCAUGGCUGUCGUCAGCUCGUGUCGUGAGAUGUUGGGUUAAGUCCUAUAACGAGCGCAACCCUUACCCUUAUUUGCCAGCGGUAGGCCGGGAACUAUAAGGGAACUGCCGGUAAUAAGCCGGAGGAAGGUGGGGACGACGUCAAGUCAUCAUGGCCCUUACGUGUAGGGCUACACACGUGCUACAAUGGGAGAUACAGACGGUUGCUAAAAGCGCGAGCUGGAGCCAAUCCGACAAAGUCUCUCGU